UAAAGGAUUUCGGCGGGGGAGCACCACAAGGGGUGAAGCCUGCGGUUCAAUUGGAGUCAACGCCAGAAAUCUUACCCGGAGAGACAGCAGAAUGAAGGUCAAGCUGAAGACUUUACCAGACAAGCUGAGAGGUGGUGCAUGGCCGUCGCCAGCUCGUGCCGUGAGAUGUCCUGUUAAGUCAGGUAACGAGCGAGAUCCUCGCCACUAGUUGCUAUCAUUAUUCUCAGGAAUAGUGGGGCGAAUUAGUGGGACUGCCGUUGUUAAAACGGAGGAAGGAGGGGGCCACGGCAGGUCAGUAUGCCCCGAAACUCUGGGGCCACACGCGGGCUGCAAUGGUAGCGACAAUGAGCUCCAAACUCGAAAGAGAGUGGCAAUCUCUAAACGCUACCACAGUUAUGACUGAGGGCUGUAACUCGCCCUCACGAAUAUGGAAUCCCUAGUAACCGCGUGUCAUUACCGCGCGGUGAAUACGUCCCUGCUCCUUGCACACACCGCCA
rnacentral:rRNA from 1 species